UGGGGAAUAUUGGACAAUGGGCGAAAGCCUGAUCCAGCAAUGCCGCGUGAGUGAUGAAGGCCUUAGGGUCGUAAAGCUCUUUUACCCGGGAUGAUAAUGACAGUACCGGGAGAAUAAGCUCCGGCUAACUCCGUGCCAGCAGCCGCGGUAAUACGGAGGGAGCUAGCGUUGUUCGGAAUUACUGGGCGUAAAGCGUACGUAGGCGGUUAUUCAAGUCAGAGGUGAAAGCCCGGGGCUCAACCCCGGAACUGCCUUUGAAACUAGAUAGCUAGAAUCUUGGAGAGGUCAGUGGAAUUCCGAGUGUAGAGGUGAAAUUCGUAGAUAUUCGGAAGAACACCAGUGGCGAAGGCGACUGACUGGACAAGUAUUGACGCUGAGGUACGAAAGCGUGGGGAGCAAACAGGAUUAGAUACCCCGGUAGUCCCUGAGCGGGCUGGCAAGGCGCAU
rnacentral:rRNA from 1 species